UACGUAGGUGGCAAGCGUUGUCCGGAUUUACUGGGUGUAAAGGGCGUGUAGCCGGGCUGACAAGUCAGAUGUGAAAUUCCGGGGCUCAACCCCGGACCUGCAUUUGAAACUGUUGGUCUUGAGUAUCGGAGAGGCAGGCGGAAUUCCUAGUGUAGCGGUGAAAUGCGUAGAUAUUAGGAGGAAUACCAGUGGCGAAGGCGGCCUGCUGGACGACAACUGACGGUGAGGCGCGAAAGCGUGGGGAGCAAACAGG
rnacentral:rRNA from 1 species